GACGAACGCUGGCGGCGUGCUUAACACAUGCAAGUCGAACGCUGAAGCUCAGCUUUUGUUGGGGGGAGGAGUGGCGAACGUGUGAGUAACACGUGAGUAACCUGCCCCCUUCUUUGGGAUAACGCCCGGAAACGGGUGCUAAUGCUGGAUAUUCACUGGUCUUCGCGUGGGGGGGGUUGGAAAUGGUUUUUCUGUUGGUGGGUGGGCUGGCGGCCUAGCCGCUGGUUGGUGGGUGGAUGGCCUACGAAGGCUUUGACGGGUAGCCGGACUGAGAGGGUGACCGGUGACAUUGGGACCGAGCUAAGGCCCAGACUGCUACGGGAGGCAGCAGUGGGGAAUAUUGCACAAUGGGAGCAAGCGUGAUGCAGCGAAGCCGCGUGAGGGAUGGAGGCGUUGGGGUUGUGAACCUCUUUCGCUCAUGGUCAAGCCGCAACAAUGGUUGUGGUGACGGUAGUGGGUAAAGAAGCGCCGGCUAACUACGUG
rnacentral:rRNA from 1 species